rnacentral:rRNA from 1 species
AUGGAGUACCAGCCUCUGGUAUCGGCCCUCGACGCUUGCACCUCCCCCGUCACCCUGGAUGAGAUGUUAACCAUGCUAAGUAACUUUGAUCAGUGCAUGGCACUCUACCAGGGUUCGGGUGGCUUCAAGUCGUCCGCUAACGCAACCUCUCGUGGCCGCGGCGGACCUCCAUGCGGGAAGGUCAGAUCGGGUGGCGGCGGAAACUCCUCCAACAGCACCAAUCCAUGCGCCGGACGUUCCCCCUCCACCAACUCCAAGGGACGCGGCGGCGGUGGUGGCCGCGGCUCCAACAGAGUGUGCCCUGAUGCGCCGCACUACCAGAUCUGCGGCAAGCUCGGUCAUAGUGCUCGGGACUGCUGGUACCGCUACGAUGAUGAUGAUGAUGAUGACUCCCAGGACGAGGACAAGGUGGCUGCUGCUGCGAUGGCUCCUAUGGCAUCGACACCAACUGGUACAUCGACAGUGGUGCCACCGAACACAUCACCAGCGAGCUCGAGAAGGUGA